rnacentral:rRNA from 1 species
UACGGAGGGGACUAGCGUUGUUCGGAAUUACUGGGCGUAAAGCGCACGUAGGCGGAUUUGUAAGUCAGGGGUGAAAUCCCGGGGCUCAACCUCGGAACUGCCUUUGAUACUGCAAAUCUCGAGUCCGGAAGAGGUGAGUGGAAUUCCUAGUGUAGAGGUGAAAUUCGUAGAUAUCAGGAGGAACACCGGUGGCGAAGGCGGGUCUCUGGGCCGAUACUGGACGCUGAGGAGCGAAAGCGUGGGGAGCGAACAGG